UAAGAUGGGAGCCGAAUCGGUGGU
rnacentral:sRNA from 1 species